GUCUGUCUGUAAAGUCCUGGGCCUGCAUAAGCCUGCCGUUCUUCUUGGCUGCCUCUGGCUUUCCACCCCCAGGCCAGAAGCAGAGUGAGAGAAACCAUUGUUCUUGUGGCGGUUGUCUUUUAAAAAUUGGCCAUUUGAGGCCCUUUCAACUGACUUCCCAUUGUACAUAGAGGAAACCCAAGGACCAGAAAAGUAGGGUACCGUCCCCCCGUGUUAAGUGGCAAGCUGUGCCUCCGAGCGCAGACUAAGAGCCCUUUCCCAGACACUGGGCGCUGUGCCCAGGGGCUCGUCUCCGGCCACGCUGUGGCUGUGAGCUACCAGCACUCAGCUCUGCUCUUAGCACAGCUCUGGGCUCAGCUAAUGCUUGUCCUGCAAGGACCACAGAGGCACAUCUUCUGCCCUCAUGGUGUACAGAGGAGGAAACUGAGGCCCGGAGAGGAGGACUGGCUGGCUGCUCUGGGUCACACAGUGAGUGGGGACGGGGGCCAGUGCUGUGCUCCCUCCCCUCCCGCCUUUCUGUCCAGUCAGUGUGCUUGCUGAGCACCUCCGCGGGGGAGCUGGGGCCCUGUGCGAGUGCUGUGGGUGCCAGGAAGAGGGGCGGGAGAGACUGGCUCUGGGGGCCAGGCCUGAGGCAUAGGACAGACAACAGGAUGUGUCUCAGCCCCACCCCGCAGCCCAGGAGUCAGUGUCUCCAUUCACAUUAGGAGGGGAGGCUGGAGAGGGGGAAGGCCAGGCUUGUUCUUCUACAGUUGGGGAAACUGAGGCAGAGAGCUUCAGAGCAAAAUAGUGAUUCAUUUGGGUUCAGGAGAGUCCCUACCAAUGCUUUCUGCUCUCAGCCCCCUAACUUCCAAAUCUCUGGCCCAGGUACCCCAAGCCUCUGAGGGCAUCCCCAGACCGGAGGGACCAGGACUCGGGGGGUGAAGCCCACUGUGCCUCUCACUUGCAGGAUGACUUUGGAACGAGUCACAGCCCUUCCCUGGUCCUCACCUGCACAGGGUGUCAAUGGUGAUCUCUGGCCUCACGCAUCCCCUGAGGGCUGACAUCCCCUGAGGGUGACUUUUCUUUGAAAGUUAUAAAGUGAAGGGUAUGUGUGAGGUUCAUGAAGGGAACUCAGGAAAACUAGCAGUUGCAGGGGGGUGGGGGCAGGUCGCAGUCUCCAAGGAGGCAGGUUCCUGUGCAAGGGCUCCACGCUCUGGGGCGCCUUUAGCAUUACUCUACUUUUCGUAUUUGCUUAUGUAAUUAAUUUGUCUUUUUAUUGCCCCUAAAAUAGACUUUACCACAAGUGUAAGGAAAUAAAGAGAAGCAGAAACAGAGAGAGAGCGAGCAAGGAAGAAAGAAAAGAAGGAAGAAAGGAAGAAAGAAAGAAGGAAAGAAAAAAAGAAAGAAAAAGAUAAAAAGACAAAGAAAGAAUCAUAGUGGUAACUCCCGGGAAAACCGCUGUUACCAUUUUGGUGGCGCUCCUUCCAGACUUUUCUCUGUGCAUGACUAUCAAAAUACCUAGAUGUACCUGUGUGUUAAAGACUAUAGCAUAAUAUUUUCUAUGUUGUUUUAUAAAGUUUUCUCUCUUUUCCACUUACCAAUAUUUUGAUAACAUUUCAUCUUGUCAACGAAUGUUCAUCUCCAGCGCCUUUUUUCCCUUGCGGCUGUGGACACCUCGUGGACGGGUCUACUGUGUUUGGGUGGGGACAUGGAGGCCCAAGGCCCCACAGCAGGUGAUGGAAGUGCCAAGCCCAGUGACCAGCCUGGGGUCCAUUCUGUGCCAGCUCACCUGCAGGGAGCAUUGCUGCUGAGGUCACAGUUCCUGGAGCCAGACUGCUCCUGGCACCGCCAUGCACACUCACGGUCAGAUGUGUGACAAUGGGAGUCGGACUUCAGAGCGGUUAUAGCUUCUUCCAGUGCCAAAGCGGAGGCUUCCUGGACGCAGCCCGGGACGGAGCGGCCUGGCAGAUGGGGACGUGGCGGGCGUUAUGGGCUGAAUUGUGUCCCCCUCCCCAGAAAUUCACAUGUUGAGGUCCUAACCCCAGUGUCAGAAUGUGGCUGUAUCUGGAGACAGGGUCUUUAACGAGGUAAUUGAGUUAAAAUGAGUUCAUUUAACCCAAUGUGACUGGUGUCCUUACGAGAAGAGGGGAUCAGGACACAGACACACACAGAAGGAAAAGCACGUGAAGAUAUGGGGACAAGGUGGCCACCGACAGGCCAAGGAGAGAGGCCGCAGGAGAAACCGGCCCUGCGGACACCUUGAUCUUGGACUUUGAGCCUCUAGAAUUGUGAGAAAAUAAAUUUUGUUGUUUGAGCC
ensembl:lncRNA